GACGAACGCUGGCGGCGUGCUUAACACAUGCAAGUCGAACGGAAAGGCCCUGCUUUUGUGGGGUGCUCGAGUGGCGAACGGGUGAGUAACACGUGAGUAACCUGCCCUUGACUUUGGGAUAACUUCAGGAAACUGGGGCUAAUACCGGAUAGGAGCUCCUGCUGCAUGGUGGGGGUUGGAAAGUUUCGGCGGUGGGGGAUGGACUCGCGGCUUAUCAGCUUGUUGGUGGGGUAGUGGCUUACCAAGGCUUUGACGGGUAGCCGGCCUGAGAGGGUGACCGGCCACAGUGGGCCUGAGGUACGGCCCAGACUCCUACGGGAGGCAGCAGUGGGGAAUAUUGCACACUGGGCGGAAGCCUGAUGCAGCAACGCCGCGUGCGGGAUGACGGCCUUCGGGUUGUAAACCGCUUUCGCCUGUGACGAAGCGUGAGUGACGGUAAUGGGUAAAGAAGCACCGGCUAACUACGUG
rnacentral:rRNA from 1 species